AAUUAAAAUAUCGUUAGUAUUUUAUGUACGUAUAACAUAAUUUUGAGUGAUAAAAUAUAACAUAUUAUAUUUCAGAUUAAAUAUACAUUAAUAUUUUUAAUAAAUAUUUUUAAAAUAUUAGAUUAUGCUACCUAUAAGUACAUAUUUUAUUUUAUAAAUCAAUAUAAAUAUAUAUAUAAUAGUAUAGAUAUAUAUAAUAGUAUACCUUUGGUUGGCCAAAAAAACUUAUUUGUCAUGUUGCAUUGGGCUACUCAUUAGUUACUCUGGGCGACCU
rnacentral:lncRNA from 1 species